rnacentral:rRNA from 1 species
UACGAAGGGGGCUAGCGUUGCUCGGAAUUACUGGGCGUAAAGGGCGCGUAGGCGGACAUUUAAGUUAGAGGUGAAAGCCCAGGGCUCAACCCUGGAAUAGCCUUUAAUACUGGAUGUCUUGAGUUCGGGAGAGGUGAGUGGAACUCCGAGUGUAGAGGUGAAAUUCGUAGAUAUUCGGAAGAACACCAGUGGCGAAGGCGACUCACUGGCCCGAUACUGACGCUGAGGCGCGAAGGCGUGGGGAGCAAACAGG